CGGUUUCCGUGACGCAGCUAACGCAUUAAGUUCCCCGCCUGGGGAGUACGGCCGCAAGGCUAAAACUCAAAGGAAUUGACGGGGACCCGCACAAGCGGCGGAGCAUGCGGAUUAAUUCGAUGCAACGCGAAGAACCUUACCAAGGCUUGACAUAUACGAGAACGGGCCAGAAAUGGUCAACUCUUUGGACACUCGUAAACAGGUGGUGCAUGGUUGUCGUCAGCUCGUGUCGUGAGAUGUUGGGUUAAGUCCCGCAACGAGCGCAACCCUCGUUCUAUGUUGCCAGCACGUAAUGGUGGGAACUCAUGGGAUACUGCCGGGGUCAACUCGGAGGAAGGUGGGGAUGACGUCAAAUCAUCAUGCCCCUUAUGUCUUGGGCUUCACGCAUGCUACAAUGGCCGGUACAAAGGGCUGCAAUACCGUGAGGUGGAGCGAAUCCCAAAAAGCCGGUCCCAGUUCGGAUUGAGGUCUGCAACUCGACCUCAUGAAGUCGGAGUCGCUAGUAAUCGCAGAUCAGCAACGCUGCGGUGAAUACGUUCCCGGGUCUUGUACACACCGCCCGUCAAGUCAUGAAAGUCGGUAACACCUGAAGCCGGUGGCCCAACCCUUGUGGAGGGAGCCGUCGAAGGUGGGAUCGGUAAUUAGGACUAAGU
rnacentral:rRNA from 1 species